ACCUACGGGGCGCAGCAGUGGGGAAUCUUGCGCAAUGGGCGAAAGCCUGACGCAGCGACGCCGCGUGCGGGAAGAAGGCCUUCGGGUUGUAAACCGCUUUCAGGAGGGACGAAGCCACUCGGGUGAAUAGCCCAGAGGGUGACGGUACCUCCAGAAGAAGCCCCGGCUAACUACGUGCCAGCAGCCGCGGUAAUACGUAGGGGGCAAGCGUUGUCCGGAUUUAUUGGGCGUAAAGAGCGUGUAGGCGGCUUGGUAGGUCUGCUGUGAAAACUCGGGGCUCAACCCCGAGACGUCGGUGGAAACCACCUGGCUAGAGUCCGGAAGAGGAGAGUGGAAUUCCUGGUGUAGCGGUGAAAUGCGCAGAUAUCAGGAAGAAUAUCCGUGGCGAAGGCGGCUCUCUGGGACGGUACUGACGCUGAGACGCGAAAGCGUGGGGAGCGAACAGGAUUAGAUACCCUGGUAGUCCC
rnacentral:rRNA from 1 species